AAGGAAAUAACACUCGAAAUGUAUAUAAGAAAUACUCAAGUUAAUAAAAAAAAAAAAGAAAGAAAUAAAAAAAAAAAAGAUGUUACAACAAGACCACAAACAUUGAGUUACUUAAAGACAUUGAAUGUGAAUUACAUUCUGAACCCUGGAUUUCUCUAUAAAUCGCUAAUGUGUUAGCACUUGCUCCUCUGCCUCGUCAAACAUUAGUUGCGAUCUGUGAGCCUCCAUUUCUUAUUAGUGAGCAGAGUUCUUCAAUAUGCUGUGAUGUUUUCUGUCUUUUUAGUGGCUGUAAUAGAACACAUACAUACAAGUUCCUUGGGGGUAGAAAGGGCUUACUUUUAAGCCAAUUCAAGCGCACCAACCCCCAUAGAGGUAAGUCAACCCUCUUAGAGGGAAGUCAUCGCAGUGGCAGGAGCCAGAAACAGCCAGUUGAAUUGACCCCGUUUUUGCCAAGAAGCAGAAGCAAUAAAUGCUAGUCCUGAGCUCAGCUUCUGCACAUUCCAGUAACCAAAUCCAGGAAAUGUUGCCAGUCACAGUGGGUAAGUCCUCCUGCCACAAUUAACCUACACAGUAUAAGUCAUAAGCCUACCCAGAAGCUCAUCACCCAAAUGAUUCUAGAUUUCAUCAAAUUAACAUUUGAGAUUAACCAUUACACCCGGGAUUACAUGAAUUGCAAGAUGGAAAGAAGGAAGGGAGGGAGGGGGGAACGAAGGGAGAAAGGAAGGGGAGGGAUAGAAUUCAUUUACACAAACAUCCGUGUACACUUCAUAAUGGAAAUGAAGAACAUUCUAAAAAAUUUUGAGUACAAAUUUUAAUAAAAAUAGGUUAUACUGAGUAGAAAUCAACAAAAACCAGUAAAUAGUAUUAACUUACUAUGGUUAAACAAUAAGUGAUAAAUUAGUGAAAAAUAUCAAUUAUUAAUCCACAGUUGCAAAAUCUUAAUAAAAGGAUAAUUUGCACAUUAAGUUGCAGUAAGCAUUCAGCAGGUCUAUAUAUAAUAAAAUUUUAUGUUAAAAAUCUUUUCCCAUUUCUCAAAACCUCUUAAUUCCCAGUUUAUAAUUCUCAGUGUAUCUCAUUGUCACUAUAACAUACACUAUAUGUUACUUUUUAUGAUAUUAAAAUAUUCAGAGAAAUCUACACUUUGUCUGUCAUUUGAAAGCUAAUCUAAUUAGUGAGAUGAAAUGGAGAAUUUAGAAGUCUGUAUUUGAUAGUCUAUUGAUGUCCUUCCCAAAAUAAGGCUUGCAUGGAUUUUCACUAUGAAAUCAGAAACUAACAGCAACAUUUUAAACCCUUGAAUAAUUGCAGAAUUAAUAAAACAGAAGAAAGGGUCUUCACUUGUCUCUUAUUUGAAAUAUUUAAUGUGUAAAGCUAUUUUAUAAUCAAUGUGCCCAUCCUUUGAAAAAGUAAUCAGAAAAUAAUUGCAGGCUCUGGGGAACUCAAGAAUUCAAAUGUCCUUCUUUACUGAACAGUGCCCAUUCUUCAUUGCAACAACACUGUCUUAUUUUGGGUAAUGGCUGUGCAGGUGGAUGAUUCCAAAGAUUCACCACCUUGAAAUAUCUGUUUUGUACUUUUAAACCAUUUGAGGGUCACUCUCAGCAAAUGCUAGAAUCAUUCUGAAAUGAGCAGAAGAUCACAGCCUGGAAUUCCUGGUUCUGAUCUGCUAAAUUUAGAUACAGCUGUCAGACUUCAAGGCCAAGGGGUCAGUCAGGAAUGAAAACAGUAAGAAUAAAAGUUAAAGCCUAGGAAAAAGUGAUCUGUAUCAAAGGGGCCACCGAUUGGGGGUUAUUUACUGGCUUUCAUCUUAGAAGGAAAUAAAUUCCUCAUUUUGACAGUCAAUGAAUUUUCCUAAUUUUUAAAAAGCUGGCUGAAGGGGAAAAGCAAACACCAAGAGGUCUUUUGCAUUCAUGCAGUUAAAAUAUUUCAACUAAACUUUGUUUCAUUGUUUAAACAUGUCUCAACAUAAGAAAGUGGUAUACAAAAGAAAAAAAAAGAGAAUAUUAAGAAAAAUUGAAAAUUAGGAAAGAAACAAGAAUGACAAGGUAAAAAGAAGCAGAGUGAAAAUGAACAAACCAACAAACAAUCAAUCAAAGAAAGAAAAGAAGACAUGAAAAUUAGAGUUUCUCAUUCGCGAACUCGCAUACCCAUCAUUAUAUUUAUGGUGUGUACCCUCCCAUUCAAUAAUAUUAAAAUAUUAACAGAUACUGACACAUUUACACUGCUAUGUGGAAAGCUACUCUUCUGCCAAAUAUAAUGAUUUAAGGCUAAAGCAAAGUUGCACUGAGAUGGCAAGGAAGAAAAAAGUUGAAAUAUCCCUAGUAGACACAGAAAGUGGCUUAUGCAGGGCCUGGGAAACCAGGAAGGAUGAAGAUUAAUGGCCUGCAGCUAUUCUGUCAGAGAUUUGCAGGAGACAAUUUUGCUUUAUUUAUUUGGGCUGACAAACUAAAAUAAGAAGAUUCUGGUACAUACAGGUAUGUUCCAUACAGCACUAGGCAAAAAAAGAAAAACAAUAGACAAUGCUGACAUUCUAAAAGUUUUUGUCAACACACAUAGAAGAGACUGUAAUUUCAAGACAAUUUUGUACCUGGUAAUAAUUCGUGACUUUUAUAUGACACAGAUUGAGGCUUUAUGCUUUCCUAGAUUCUUUUCAACAAAUGAAUUUUCACGAUUACAAAUAAUCUUAGAUUAUUUCUGCUUUGCACAUUUGUGUCCCUUGUGUCCCUUUGGCUGUGGGUCUCAGUAUUUGUUCCCGUCUGUUUAAGAGAAAGAUUCUCUGAUGAUGACUGUGUAAGGCACUGAUCUCUGAUCCAUGAGAAUACAGAAAUAUCACCAGGGAGCAUCUUAGCAUUACAAAUUUUUAGAACUAAUAAUAUUUAAUUUUGUCCUAGAUUCCUAGGUUACCUAGUCUCUCUGGUACUGAUGACUCACGAAUUGAUGGGUAUGGGUUCCAUCUUCUGUAGUUAUGUUUAAGUCAAAUAAAAAUUCCAUUAGUUACGACCAAAAAUUUGUGUUCCCAGUGUCCUAUUGUAUUUUGAAGGCAGGACUGCUUCGUACAUCAAGGGAUUUGUGGCUGGGAUGGUGUACAUGUUUUACUUUGUUUCCCUGCAUGAACCUUUCAAGAAUCUUAAUCAUCACUUAAUAUUUUAUUAUUCUAACUAUAGUGUAUAUAAACAAUUUUUUUAUUAUUAAAGAAACAAAGGAACUAUUCCUUUUAAAUAUUUUUCAGAAUAAUUUAUGUGUCAAUACUUUGCUGACAUGUUAUUGUUUUGAACAUGUGUGUAGGCCAGAAGUCUCAUAUGAAAAAUGGGAAUUGAACUAAGAUCUUAUAUAAGAGCAAUGAUUCCACUUAAUGGCUAAGCUAUCUCUCUAGCCACAGAUCUUCUAUUAUUAUCAGUGAACAAAUACAAAUUUAAGCACAUGAUUUGUUGGCUAUGCUUUAGUUAAUUGCAUUCUUAUCCUGUCUAAGAAACUUAUUUGAGUUGAUAGCAUAAUCACUUCUGCUUCUGAAGGUAUUAUAUUUUUGGAGUUAUUAAUGAAAUGAGAAUGGUAGGAGGAUAGCAUUAACCUAAGAUGAAAGAUUUCUCUAAAACUAAAGCAAGUUGUACACAUGUUGGCAGAAUAUAUUCCCUUCAGUGAAACGUUAUGAUACUUUCCUAAAGGGGAGCACCAAAACUUUUACACACAAAUAUUUUCCACCAAGAAUGCCAUUCUUAAACAUUUCUCUUGCCCAAAUUUUAUUCAGUUUUAAGGGUCACUACUUCUAGGAAUAAUUUUCUGUAAACAUAUCAUUCUUCUUCAGGAUUUGAAAGAAAACCGUAUGAUGAACUGAGUUUAUAAUAUAUAAAACAUAAUCUGUAUAAUACAUAAAAAUAUAUACUAUAUAUCACAUAUAUUUUGUGUGAAUGGGUGUUGAAUUGUGUGUGUUGGGGAUGUGUAGGUGAAGUGUGUCUGUGUAUGUAUGUGUGUGUGUGUGUGUGCGCGUGUGUGUGUGUGCACUUUUAAAGAUUUCAAAACUGACUGAAAGGGAGGGGAGGAUAGAAUCUUUAUAUCUGAAAUCUAGAUAUUAGUCUUUCUAUAGGUCUAAACUAUUUGCCUUCUGGAACUACAGAUUACUUCCUUAAAGUUAUAUGCUUUUUUUCCCUGCAUUUACAUCCUUACCAGGUUCACUCCUCUCAAACUUUACCAUCCAUCAGCUUCAGCAAACUUUUCCUCAUUCCAGGUCAUAUGUGUGUGUAUAUAUAUAUGUAUUCAACUUCAUAUUUUUUAUACUUUACCUUUCUAUUCCAUCCCAAAUUCCUCUUCUCACUUUCCCUGUAGAAUCUGUACUAUUUUUUAACAUUAUAUUAUUCACAGCAGUUGGGUUUUUUUUUCAUUGUUGUUACUAGGGAAACUUAUUUCCCUGCGAUUCAACCACCUAAAAAAGGCCUUCAGUGUAAACACAUGUAAACUCUUCUUAAUUUAAAGUUGAUUGCUGUAAUAAAGUAUCAUGACCAAGAGCAGCUGUGGAAGGAACAAUUUAACCUUAUAUUUACAGUUCAUCAUAAGAUGGACAUCAUAAGCUGGGAAUUCACAGUAGCAACCUCAAAUCAGGAACUAGAGCAGUAAUGAAAAAAGCUACUUACUGGCUUGUUCUUUAUGCUUUUUCAUCCUGCUUUUUAUGAAAUUUAGUACCAUUUUCCUAGUAUAGGCACCAUCCCAUCCUCCAACAUUAAUAAAUAAUCAAGAAAACAUCCAUCAGAUUCAUGUAUAAGUAAGAUUGAUGAAAACAUUUUUUCAUUUUAUCAAAUAAGGAUCUGUCUUCCUGGAAAACUAUAGUCUGUGUCAAUAUAAAAAAAUUCUAGCCGGUAUAUCCUACUCUAGGAAGUGGUAAUGAACCAACAGACAAAUGGUUCUUUCUGGCCACAUAAAGUUCCCUAAUUUCUUGUUCAGCCUGUUUAUCCUUUGAGUAGAGGAAGGCUACUGAUUUGUUUGAUUUAAUUUUAUAUUCAGCCACUUUGCUGAUGUUGUUUAUCAGGCUUAAUAGUUCUCUGGUGGAACCUUUAGGGUCACUUAAGUAUACUACCAUAUCAUGUGCAAAUAGUGAUAUUUGACUUCUUUUUUUCAAAUUUGUAUCCCUUUGACCUCCUUUUGUUGUCUAAAUGCUCUGGCUAGGACUUUGAGUACCACAUUGAAUAGGUCAGGAGAGAGUGGGAAGCCUUGUCUAGUCCCUGAUUUUAGUGGGAUUGCUUCAAGUUUCUCUCCAUUUAGUUUGAUCUAGCCUACUGGUUUGCUGUCUAUGGGCUUUGAAUUCCUGAUCUUUCCAAAACUUUUAAAAUGAAUGGGUGUUGUAUUUUGUCAAAGACUUUUUCAUCAUCUAAUGAGAUUACCUAGUGGUUUUUAUCUUUGAGUUUGUUUAUUUAGUGGAUUACAUUGAUGGAUUUAUGUAUAUUGAACCAUCCCUGCAUCUCUGGAAUGAAGCCUACUUAAUCAUGGUGAAUAUGAUCAUUUUGAUGUGUUAUUGGAUUCAGUUUACAAGAAUUUUUUUGAGAAUUUUUGCAUCGAAAUUCUUAAGGGAAAUUGGUCUGAAUUUUCCUUUUUUUUUCAUUGGGUCUUUGUGUAGUUUAGGAAUAAGCAUAACUGUGGCUUCAAAGACUGAAUUGGGUAGUGUUCCCUUUGUUUCUGUUUUGUAGAAUAGUUUGAAGACUAUUGGUAUUAGGUCUUUUUUGAUGGUCUGAUAGAAUUCUGCACUAAACCCAUGUGGUCCUCGACAUUUUUUGGUUGGGAGAUUUUUAAUGGCUGCUUCUAUUUCUUUGGGGAUUAGGGGACAUUAAAAAUUUAUCCAUUUCCUCCAGAUUCUAAUUUUGUUGAGUAUAGGUUUUUGUAGUAGGAUCUGAUGAUUUUUUGAAUUUCCUCAGGUUUUGUUUUUAUGUCUCCCUUUUCAUUUCUGAUUCUGUUAAUUUGGAUCCUCUCUAUGUGCCCUCUGAUUAGUCUGGCUAAUGGUUUAUCUAUCUUGUUGAUUUUUGCAAAGAACCAGCUCCUGGUUUUGUUAAUUUGUUGUAUAGAACUUUUUGUUUCUACUUGGUUGAUUUCAGCUCUGGGUUGAUUAUUUCUUGCAUUCUAGUCCUCCUGGGUGGUGUAUUCGCUUCCUUUUUUCUAUAGCUUUCUGGUGUACUGCCAAGCUGCUAGUGUAUGGUCUCUCCAGUAUCUUUUUGGAGGAAUCAGAGCUAUGAGUUUUCCUCUUAGCACUGUUUUCAUGGUGUCCCACAAGUUUUGGUAUGUUGUGCCUUCAUUUUCGUUAAGUUGUAAAAGUCUUUUCUUUCUUUCUUUAUUUCUUCUUUGGUCAAGUUAUCAUUGAGUAGAGCAUAGUUCAGCUUCCAUGUAUAUCUGGAUUUUUGUUGUUUUCAGUCUUACUGCAGACCUGUCUUGGUCCAUGGUGUUCUGAUAGGAUGCAUGGGAUUAUUUUAAUCUGCUUGUGUCUGUUAAGACCUGUUUUGCAUUCAAUUUUACGUUCAAUUUUGAAGAAGGUACCAUAAGUUUCUGAGAAGUUAUAUUCUUUUAUCUUAGGAUAAAAUGUUCCAUAGAUAUCUCUUAAAUCCAUUUGGUUCAAAACUUCCAUUAGUUUCACUGUGUCUCUCUUUAGUUCCUGUUUUCAGGAACUAAAAGGUCUGUCCAUUGCUGACAGUGGGGUGUUGAAGUCGCCUACUCUUAUUGCGUGAGGUGCAAUGCAGGGUUUGGGCUUUAGUAAAGUUUCUUUUAUGAAUGUGGGUGCCCUUGUACUUAGAGCAUAGAUGUUUAGAAUUGAUAGUUCAUCUUAGUAUAUUUUCCUUUGAUGAAUAUGAAGUGUCCUUUUGAUAAUUUUCUCUAAACGUCAAUUUUAUUCUAUAUUAGAAUGGCUAUUCUAUCUUAUUUCUUGGGACUAAUUGCUUGGAAAUUUUUUUCCAGCCUUUUACUCUCAGAUAGUGUCUGUCUUUGUCACUGAGGUACAUUUCUUAUAUUCAAUAAAGUCUGCGCCCAGUUUAUAUACCCAGUCCGUUAAUCUAUAUCUUUUUAUUUGGGAACUGACUCUACUGAUAUUAAGAGUUAUUAAGGAAAAGUGAUUGUUGCUUCUUGUUAUUUUUGCUGUUAGAUGUGAAAUUAUAUUUGUGUAGCUGUCUUCUUUUGGGUUUGUUGCAAGAUUACUUUCUUGCUUUUCUAGGGUGUGUUUCCUUCCUUGUGUUGGAGUUUUCUAUCUAUUAUCAUUUCUAGGACUGGAUUUGUGGGAAGAUGCUCUUUCUUUAUGUUAGGGAAGUUUUCUUCUAUAAUUUUGUUGAGGUUAUUUACUUGUCUUGUAAUUUGGGAACUUUGCUCUCUUCUAUACCUAUUAUUUUUAGGUUUGAUUUUCUCAUUGUGUUCUGGAUUUCCUCAAUGCUUUUAGGAGCUUUUGCAUUUUGCAUUUUCUUCUACUAUUGUAUUGAUGUUUCUAUGGUAUCUUCUGCACCCAAGAUUCUCUCUACUACAUCUUGUAUUCUCUUGGUGACUAUGCCUUCUGAUAUCUUUCCUAGUUUUUGUUUUGUUUUGUUUUGUUUUUAAUCUCCAGGGUUGUCUCCCUUGUGAUUUCUUUUUGCUUCUAUUUCCAUUUCUAGAUCCUGGAUGGUUUUGUUCAAGUCCAUCAUGUAUUUGAUUGUGUUUUCCUGUAAUUGUUUAAGGGAUUUUUGUGUUUCUUCUUUAAGGGCUUUCUACCUAUUUGCCUGUGUUCGCCUGUUUUUCUUUAAGAGAGUUAUUUAUGUCCUUCCUAAAGUCCUCUAUCAUUAUCAUUAGAUAUAGUUUUAAAGCCAAAUCCUGAUUUUCCUUUGUGAUGGGGUAUCUAGGAUUUUCUGUAGUUCUGAUGAUGACAAGUAGCCUUGGUUUCUGGUACUUCUGUUCUUAUGCUUACCUCUUGUCAUCUGAUUAUCUUUACUACGACCUGCCCUUUCUGUCUCUGUCCUUCCUGUGAUCCUGGUUCUGUCAGACUCCUCAGAGUCUAGCUGUCUCUGUGAUCCUGUGAUUCUGGGAUCCUGAGAUCCUGGGUGUGUCAGAGCUCCUGGGACUCAAGCAGCGUCUGGGAUUUUGAAAUCCUGGUGUGAUCAAACUCCUGAGAUCCUGUUGUGGCAGUCAAGUUUUGCAGGAGGGAGUUGAGAUCCAGAGUCUUGGGCACUGUUGCAAGCUGAAAGGAACCCGUGCCUCUUGCUGGGCAGGGUUUGUAUUUCCCUGGUUCCUGUGGGGGUUCCAGUUAACCUUUGUAUUGGGAAAGAUGUUGGGGUUUCAGUUGUGAUCUUGAGUGUCUCAGAGCGCCAUUGCUCCUGGUUGUAUCUGAUCUCUUGGAAGUUGAGCUUCCUGUGUGAUCCUGUGAACCUGGGUAUUCCAGAGCACCUGGGAGUCAGGCUCCCUCUGUGUGUUGUAACCCUGGAUGCAGAGCCAGUGACCCAGGUCUGCUCCAGGUGAAGUUUCAAACUGUGAUCCUGGGCAUGUUAGAGUACCUGGGAGUCUAGCUUCCUCUGGGUGAUGUGGAACUGGAUGCGGAUUCAGCACGUGCGGUCUGCUCAGGGCACUGGUUCAGACUGGAAGGGCCCCCAUUAACUAUUUAUUGACUAUUCUUUAAAAAAAUGCAUUCGUAAUUUGAAUAAAGAAAUUGCAGUCUCCCCAUAAUCAAGGCACAGUUGCCAAUCCACAUCCUAACACACGUCCAGCUUUAUAUGACAUGUAUUUUAUGAACAUUGAAACUGAUUGAAGAAUUAGAAAUCUUUAUUAGUGGUAGGAUUAAACAUAUUUUUGUACAUCUUAAGUGUUUAUAGACCAAAUGAUCAAUUAAUAACCUUGAGCCCUGUGGGGAUUUAUUAAGCUCCACUGUUGUCAUCAUUUGUUUUAUUUUAUUUAGUCCUUUAUAUUAAGAAGGAUCAAAGCAGAAUAGCAUCCCAUUCUCCUAUACGUUGUCAAAUACCCACAUCUUGCUUUGAAUUGUUUGUAAUUUAUAAUAACUCAAUCUGAGAUAAGUGACACAUUACAAAAGUGAUUGUGGCAUUGCCUAUUGCAUUGAGGUUGUACAAGUUCUAGCACAGAGGUGAAUUAGUCCAAUAAAGAGUACAACAUACAAGUUAGAAGUAAAUGGAAGGACAAGACAAAAUAAGCCUGGCCUAAGACCUCAAAAAUUGGCUUUCCAUAGUAUCAGUAUAUUUAGGUAUAAACAUUUUUUUUUAAAUUGAGACCCAUAAGUUAAAAAAUUACAUAAAAUGAAUCAAUUCUGUUGAAACAGUGCACCCAGAGUCUUUAAUAAUAUUAGUUAUAUGCUAACUAUAAUUUACCUUACCAACAUGCUCAAUUAACUUGUAGGUACAUCUGGAAAGAAUUCCAUCAUUGAGAUAUUUGAAUAGUCUCAUGCUCAGGGAGUGUGCAGGCAAUUUGAUCUUAGAAAUACUACAAGCUAAACAUAUAUAAUAUAUUAAUGUAGAAUAUAUAUUAUACAUACAUUAUAUAGCACAUUCUAUAUGUAUGUAGAUGUGUAGAUGAGGAUAUAUAAAUAUGCAUAUAUGUAUAAAACAUAAAAUAUAUGGUGAAUUGCUAGGAUUAGACUGCUCUAUGGAAAGUCAAAGGUUAUAGAAAAUGGUAAGUGAAACCCUGAAGUUAUACAAGGACAAGAGUGAUCCACCUGUGGGAGAACAGCCAGAAGUUAAUCAUCUCUGAACCAGGAGCAACCUUCAAGUAGACAUUUAGCUUCCACCUCCUGCCCAUGAGUUCUUCAGCUCUAACUUUGUGAAGAAAGUUUUGCUAUGUUGCUAAGGUUAUGCUACUAUGAUAUGUCAUCUCAAAUAAAAUAGAAUAGAAUGGAUUCAUAUAUACAUUCAGGUAGUACCUUAAACAAACAAAUAAUUAAAAUCCCAGGGGAGUAAAAAUGCUAGAUAGUACAGCAUAAUCUAAAAGCAAAAAGAUUUAACCAAUGUAUCUUUAGUAUUAAAGUAUGUAAAUAGUCUUCAGAAACAGUGAUGUUGCCCACCAGUAGUGAAAUAAAUUAUAUGCUAAAAAGUUUAUAAUUAAUCUGGUGGUUACAUAUAUAAGUCAUAAAAUGGUCGUGUUUACCUUUAGAAGUAUUCUGAAGACCUUGAGAGGACAAGGAGCUCUACAGGUUGACUCAAGGAAUAAUUCAGUACCUUGAAUUAAAAAUGAACUUAAAAGAUCAUACAUUUAAAAAAUGAUUAAUAGGUAUUCAGGACUUCUUCAGAGCAUAGUCUCAUUCAGGCCUUGUGCUAAUAGUCUGUAAGAGGAAGCAGGCAGCAUAUUAAUGACAUUUUUUAAUAAGACAAAGUUGAGAGAUACUGGACCAUAAGUUAGAUCUUAAAAUAAUCUGUUUUAUAAGUGUCUGUAGGACAUUUAAGAGGCAUGAGGAAAAUCAUGAAAUGGUACCCAGGAAGACUCAGUUCAAUGUGCUGUAUCAUUAGAUUUUUUCAAUAACCAGAAAGCUCACUGAAUGAAUAAAUGAACUACAUUUGAACCUAAAAGUUAAAACAUUAUUUGUAUGACGUCACAGCAGAUUAUCUGUAUAACACAUGGAAAAUUUUAUAAUCAUCAGUUCCAUGUAAGAAGUAAACUAUUUGGAGGAUUUUUGAAGGUAUUGUUUUUUUUUUCUUUAAGAUACUGAAUCUUAGGGGUUUAAGAGAAUUUUUAUUCUAUGGAGAGGUUCCCAUAACUGACUAGUUAAGUAUCACAGAAUGAAGAUGCAGUUGCUUUUGUAAGAUUAUAGAAUAAGAUUCUGGAAGCAUGACAGCAUCAUUCAUUAAAACCUUGUUAAUCUAUUGUUGAACAUAUGCCUCAUUCUAAUGAUGGUUUUAGGUUGUUAUAGAGUUUCAUGCUUAAUAGAUGUGUGAAUUUUCUUAUCUCAAUGAAAUUUAAAACUCUUAUUUUGUCUUUCCUGUUCUACAUAUACAUUUCAAUAAGCAUAAAAUCACACACACACACACACACAUAUAUAUAUACAUAUAUAUAUAUUUAUUACAGUUUUCUAUUACUAGUGGUAUCACAGAUGAACACAGCUAUUUCUAUGCUUAUAGUUUUCAAGGUAGUUAUUGCUCAACUGCAAAUACACUGGGAAUAAGAGUAUCUAGGAUUAAGAUUAACAAUGAGUAUUUUCUUUGUUCCUAUGCCUACUCUCACUGUCAGUUUGGUAAAGGAGUAAGUAGUGACAUGACAUCUAAAUUCAGUGACUCUAAAGCUAGUAACUUUAAUCUAAGAAAAUAUCAUUCUUCAGUGAAGGAAAUCUCAAAAGGAUAAGGAUGAGUACUAAGGGAUAUCACAUACCAGUUCAGAAUCUUCUCGGUCAAUGGGAAAGAUAUCUCUCUUUUUAAAGAGUCAUAAAAAUAAAUAAGGCAUAAAUUAAGUGGCUUUGUACCAGAGCUUCUAUUGACAAAAUUACAUGACUUCUACUAUGACACUCUUACUACUCAGGAAUAAAUGUUCAGAAGACCACAUUCCCAAUGACCUAAAAUUGCAUAAGCAAAAAUAGGCAUUCAAUGGUCAUUUUCUUAUCCAUUCUUUCCAGACAUGUAUUUUACAUAAUCACUUAGGUCAAGAAAUAAUCUUUAUGGGUGGCCCAUCUUCCUGAAUAAACUCCAUCUAUGCUUCUUGAACAAAGCUUUUACGAAUUUUCUGUAUGGAAUUAGCCAAGAUUUGUUUUUCUGGAAUACAGGUUGUAGGAAAACCCAGUACAGCUUAAAUGUACUCUUUCUUCAGUCUUCUCUCGGUAACUUGCUUUCCCUUUCUCCUGGAAACAUUAACAUAAAUCCAUCCUUGCCUUUCCUUUCAAUAAUUCAUUUCACUGUGUCAUCAAAUUUUGUGGCCACUAUCUUAAUAUAUUUAUAAUUAACUUACCCCCUCCACUAUUAUGCCUUUAAUGCUAGAAAUAUUUUUUCUAAUCUAUAUGCAAAAAUGCUCUAAAUGGUUUCAUUGUUUCUUUUAGUUACACAAGUAAUAUACUUCUAAAGUAUUAUUCUUGGUGAUCAAUGUUAAAACAUCAGUAAUCUUUUUUCAUUUCUCUAUUCAAUUGUCUUCCAGGUUUCCUACCUUAACACUAGCAGAAGUCAAAAGUCUUCUUGGCAUCCCAGGUUUACAACUGUUACCUUAAUUUCAGCUGUUUUUGUUGUAUUACUUCAGUUCGACAUCUUUGGUCACUUUUUUGUUUGUUUGUUUUCUGAAACAUUUGAGCAGAUGUCUUCCUGGUACCUUUGUUGAUUCCUCCAUAGGAAAUAAUUUCUCAGUUGCUGUUUUUAUUUCUGACAUGUUUUUCCCCUAUAUAACUUCUGUGUUGUAGUUGAGAUGUCCUCCUAUUUCGAUGACACCAAGUAUAUUCUUCAUAUGUAUCUUAUCUACAAUAUAGAAUCUGAUUUAUAGUGACCAUAACAAUAGGGAUAUCCUCACUCACAUAUACUUUUCUCAUCUUAAGGGAUAGUGAUUUAUUUUUUCUUCAAUUUUUUUGAAUCUGGACCACAGAUUUUUGAGCAGAGAAUAUGAAUUGUACCCUUAUGUUACAGCCAAACAUAAGAAUAUAAGAAUGGUCGUUCGGGUUUACUCGGUAUCAAGGUGUCAAGAGUCUCCAUAGAAUUUCUCUUUCUUUUCUUUCCCUUUGUUUUCAAAGAUAAAACCAAUAUGUUAGGCAAGUACAGUUAAAUUGAAUACAAGACAUGCAUGAGAUCAACGUAAAGCAUGCAAUCUCUUUUAAGAUACUAGAUAAUAUUUGUCUACAAUAGUUACCUUGUCAGAGAACCUCACAAAUAUCAAUGUAUUUUGCUAUCCCACAACAUAGUUAGCAAAUAAAAUACAUUAAUCACAUUAAAGACUGCCUUUUACAUAAUUCUCUUUUAUGCACUUACAAAUUAUUUUUAUUCAUCUGAUGAACAGAAUGCAAUUUUUUCAAAGGUGUGGAGUUUCACCUGCACAGCCUUUCGUUCUGAGAUUAAACCUUCCCCUUUGGAAUGAAACUGAUUAAGGCCCAGACGUUUGAUGGGAGAUGAAACUACAGGCUCUUUGUUGGUGAGAUGACAUAAUCCUUCUUCAAGGGAAGUUUCUUAGACUCAGGGCGGCCCUUAGUUAGGGUUUCUAUUGCUGUAACAAAACAUCAUGAACAAAAGCAACUUGGGGAGAAAAGGUUUAAUUCACAUUUCAGCUUGGAAUUCGUCAUCCAGGGAAAGCCAGUUCAGGAACGCAAGACAGGAAUCAGGAAGCAGUAACUGAUGCAGAGACCAUGAGACAGCCUAUUUACUGGUUUGCUUCCCAUGGCUUACUCAGCCUGAUCGCUCAUACAAUUAAGGACACUUGUUCAAGUGUGGCACCAGCCACAAUUAACUGGGCCCUCAAACAGCAAAAAACUGAUUAAGUAAAUAUACCACAGACUUGUUUACAUCCCAAUCUGGUGGAGGUUAUUUCUCACCUGAAGUUCUCUCUUCAAAUGUCUCUAGCCAGUAUCAAGUUGACAUUGAACUUAAACAUCACAAGUGGUAAAGAACUCAAAUGCUUCAGGCGGUUCCUGAAGGUGACCAGAUUCACUGUGGUCCUCAUUCACACAAUAGUACAGAUGCUUCAAUAUAGGUUGAAAGAAACAUUAGACACGUUCAGCUGUCUAGAAACCUCUUUUAAAAAAAGUUUUUUAUUAGAAAAAUUUCUUUACUUACAUUUCAAAGGUUAUUCCUCUUCCCGGUUUCCUGUCUAUAAGUCCCCAUUCCCUCCCCUCCCCGUCCCCCAUACCGGUAUGCCCCCUAUACAUCCCCUUUUGCCCACCCCAUAUUCCCCUACCCUGUGUGGUCCAACCUUGGCAAGACCAAGGGCUUCCCCUUCCCCUGGUCCCCCAACAAGGCUAUUCUCUGCUACAUAUGCAGUUGGAGCCCUGGGUCAGUCCAUGUAUAGUCUUUCUGUAGUGGUUUAGUCCCUGGAAGCUCUGGUUGGUUUGCUUUGUUGUUCUUAUGGGGUUGCAAACGCCUUCAACUCUUUCAAUCCUUCCUCUAAUUCCCCCCAAGGUGGUCCUAUUCUCAGUUCAGUGAUUUGCUGCUAGCAUUGACCUCUGUAUUGGAUAUGCUCUGGAUGUGUCUCUCAGGAGAGAUCUAUAUCCGGUCCCUUUCCGCAUGCAUUUUCUAGAGAAGCCUCUUAUAUAAGCUGAGCUCUCUAUAGGUGACCCAGACCAGAGCAGUUUUUGGAAGGAACAAGACCAGCCAAAUCCUGUGGAAGAAACAUAUAAAUCAGACAGAGCAGGAAAGAGCUCACCUACCAGGAAGAGGGUCCGACCACACGAGCUACCUGCAACGGACCCACUUCAAACUAUUGUGUUCUCAGAGCUGAGGACCGCACCCAGGGCCUUGAGCUUGCUAGGCAAGCACUCUACCACUGAGCUAAAUCCCCAAAGCCCAUUUUUGUCUAUAGGUUUGCUCCUGUAAAACUCCUAAGUGCAUACUUCUGGUCAGUGAAAUCUCAUUCAAUUGAUUUGGUUAUUUUCGAGUUACUAAACAUGUUUAAUAAAUUGUGCUUAGUUUACACAGAGCACAUUAGAACUAUAACCAACAUAAUUGAAAGUAUGAUGGUGAUUUUAGAGUGGCAACCUUAACGUGACAUGUUUCUAUUAGUACCUUGUUUCUUUCAUAAUUUUAAUUCAGUUUGUAUAUAGCACUGAAGUUGAAUGUUAAAGGUAUAUUCCCUGUAGAGUACAAAUCUUUUUUUUUCUUUGUCAAUUACAGAAGCUCAGAGCUGAGUCUAAACUCCUAGACCACUUAAAUUAUUCCUUCAUUUCUCCUGAUAGAUUUUUGUCAAAUAAUACAGUUGCAAUUAGUAGCAAAGAACCAUUUUGCUUCAAAUAGAAUGCUUCCCCAGGGUGAAAGACAUUUAUACAAUGUUUGUAUUGUACAGUCUGAAAGAAAACAAAAAUUUCCAACCUGGGAAAUCAGCGAAGGCUUCUAGGAAGGGACAAAAUAAAAAUAGGGAAAAUGAAAAGAUACUUAAAUUGUCUAAAUGAAGGUUAAAUUCUGAGAAAAAGAAACUAACAUAAAAAAACGCAUUAUCAAUAAUCCUUCACAGGAAGAACUAAAAAGCUAGGAAAUACUAAAAAUAAUUCCAAUUUUAUCAAAAGGCUUUUUCAUAAUAAAGCAUCUAUUUUUCCUCUGAUGCAUCUGGUCUUUGUAAAAAGCAUAGAAGAAGGAAAUAAAAACUCAUAAUGGGGAAAGUCAUAAUCACAACUCCUACAUAUUCUUCAAAAUAGAAGGAUUGACUUAGACUUGUUGUUUGUACAUUUAUUUUUAGAAUCAAAUGAGAACUCAGGGGAAAUCUAUAUUUGGUACUAUUAAUAAAUUCUGCUAAUAGAUUCCCCUGUAACAGUCAGACCAUGUCCCAAAUAAAAGAGGCAUGUUUUUAUUUUAAUGGUAGAAAUAUCUGGUAAAUCAAACCACACUGGUAUGUGUGCAUUUACCUUCUGAGGAUUACUGUAUCAAUUAACUUCAUGUAGCUAGUUACCUGUAACUGUCAAACGAACAGCCAUCUAAGAGAAUGAUACAAAACUGUAUCUCCAUCAGAAUAGAUUUUGUGACUCAGGAUUGCACACAUGGUUGUGAUUCCUAGGACAAUUGAAAGACAAGUAUUGAAAGCCAGGUAAAGCUCAGAUUUAUGACAAUUCUUAAAAUAUACUGAGUCAUCUGUAAGUGUGAAGGAGACUUACAUUGAUAAUUUCAAAUGAAAAGGAAAGAGAAAUUUCUCUGAGCCUGCCAUAUUUGUCUCUUUAUCAUCAGUCUGUCUUUCAGUUUAUCAUUCAUGUUUGUAUGUAUGUAUGUAUUAAUGUAUGAAUUAUCUAUCUAUCAAUCUAUUUAUCUAUUUAUCUAUAUAUCAUAUGUCUAGCAUGUCUUUAUAUUAUGUAUAAUCUAAUAUAACAUAAUCUAUAUUUCUUUCUACCUAUCUCUCUACCUAUCUAUUUAUCUAUCAACCACCUAUCUAAAAAUCAAUCUGUGUUUGGCUUAUAAAUAUGCCAUAUAUGCAAAAUACGAAAUUAAUUAGCACAAUACUACAUUACCAGUCAAGCAAGUGGUUUCAAAGGGUUAUAUUAAUGACAUUAAAGUGAAAUUCGUGUAAUAUUAAUUUAAAUUUGAAUUUAUUUGAAAAUAAAAACCAAUCAAACCAAAACAGGAGCAUUCUUACUCUUUGCAAAUUGGAACAUUUACUUUCUCCUGGACAUCUGGAAGAAGUUGUACUCUGUCCUCUCUAUUAUCAAAACACAAUUUUACAGUUGUACAACAAAGAACAUAAUUAAAAAUUUUUGUUGAAGUUUUAAAUUUUCAAUUGCCUUCUUUUCUUUUUCUCUUAUAUCUUUCACACUUCUCUCACAGCCUUUUGCUACAUCUCAAAACAGGCCUUCUUUAUUCUUUGUUAUUUUAUACACACACCCAUGCACAUGCACACAUACACACACACACACACACACACACACACACACACACACACACACCACCUGAUAACACACAUGCCUAAAUAUAUAAAGUCAAAGGAACCUCUCAGUUCCUUUAGUGCCAUAUAUAUAUAUAUAUAUAUAUAUAUAUAUAUAUAUAUAUAUAUAUAUAUAUAUGACUGGAAGAAUGCAGUCUGUUUUAUUAAGCAAUUAAAAGGAUAAUAUUCCAAUAUUAAAUUCUCAUUGUAAAUAGGAAAACUAAAAUGAUACUUUCUAGGGUUAUAAGAGGUAUCUGACUAACAAUGAUAAUUAUGAAUAAUGGAUAUUAAACACUCUGACUAUCCAGGAGCCCUUUGCUUGUGUUUGUAUACAGUGUUUGUUUUUCUUAUCAUCUGCUGGCCUUCUAUUAAUGUUCCUACAAAGCAGGCACUAAUAUAAUUUUCCCUGUUUUACAGGUAAAAUCACAGCAUGGUUGUAUAAUAUGCUUUAGUCACUACUGGGACCACAAUUCCGAAUGUCAACAGUGUAGUUUAUGUACUUAUGCAAGACAUUCUAGAGCAUUUCCAUCUAUAUUUUUUCUACCAAGCAAUAUUUGUCAAGCAAUAUAUCCUUCCAAGUUUGGGUAUGUAUGGAUUAAAUCUGAGAAUUUGGUGUUUGGCCACAGGCCCAGGCAAGUGCCAAAAGAGCAAAUUGCUCUGGUAUCAGGUUAUAGAUCUGAUAAAUUGGUAGUGCCUGCCAGUAAAAGUCGAUGGAGGAUUCUGUGACUCAUGUCUUUUGAGGAAAAUCUAAUGGGAUGAAUUCAUGAAGACAGACUACAGUGCUCUGGGAGGUGGGCAGUAAGACAUUAGUUUGUUUCAGAGAGCUGAAUAUCUUGGAUAGUUUAUAAAUGAGAGAUGAGAAUAAAAGUUAGGAAAGGGUAAACAAGAAUGAUACUAAUGAGCAUGUCAAACAGACAGAGAAAAGACCAAGAAGCUGUAAUGUUUCUGAAAAUCAUCCCUGAAAGUCACAAUGUGAAAUUCCCGGGCCUUCUUCCUACUUCAGAUUAGUUCACACAGAUCUCCCUUUGCAAUGCUUGGUCUGAGUCCACACAGAUCUCCCUUUGCAAUGCUUGGUCUGAGUAAUUCUGCUCAAAUUAUUUUGUCUUGUGACAAAAUUCUUUCCUUCACGAAUGAAAUAUUACAGAGAUGACUAUAACAGUUUUUUUUUCACAAAGAGCUUGUAUACAUCCAUUAUGGCUUAGUUCUUACAGUCAAAAGCAAGCACCACGACUUCUACAAAAUGGCAGGCAACAGUGUGCCCUGGACACUGCUGGGGGCGAUUGUCUGGCUUUUAUUCAUUGGGCCACUUUCCAUAUUCCUCUACUAGCCUGACUGGAAAUUUGACUACAAUCUAUUGGCAUCUAACUUCCUCUUCCCUCCAGCAUUUUGAACGAAGACAUUUCCAGUUUUUAAAUGUAUUUAUUUUACUUAUUUAUCUGGGUGAUGUGCCACUCUCUUCUAGGCAGAUUGCACAGUUGACAGCCAUUAGCCCCACUCAGGGAUUCAGGGACGGUGCCAGGGGACACAAUGAGCAGGUGCAGCUAUUGCCAUUCACCUGAUCAGACUGCGGUCUCCUGAGAAUGUCAUUUGUUGAAACAGCUCUUAGCCCAUUUUGGCUACAGGGGGAUUUAGCACUGACUGUAGAACCUAGAGACUCCAGUUUAAGACAAGUGGCCUGGAAGAGAGAUAAGCACAUGCUCCUGAGAUGUGCCUGGUAAUUAGCUCUCCACAGCAUAAAUCGUUCAUCUCCAAAUGAUGAAUUUUAAUUUUAUUUCCAAAACCUUUCAAGGGGAAGAAGGUGUCAGAGUUUAACACUAGCUACUAGAUUUAACAUAAACGGCUAUUUGCCAAUUAGUUUCUGUUUGCCAAUCGUUUUUGUCCUAAUAUGUUGGAAAUGAAUUAUGUGGCUCAAGGUGAAAUGAAAUCUAUAAUCCUCUGUAUAGUGUUGAAAUACUAAAUCAUGUUAAUGAAGUGAGUGUCAAACAGGAGCACACUGCUGAUUUAUACACACACAGCAGGUGUGUGCUUCAACCAGAUCUGAAUUUGGACUAAAAAGGAUGUGGCUUGUGUGGCUAUGAGGAAAACAUGGAUUUCUAGGAGUUCAGGAGGGAAUAUCAGAAGGAAGCUGGGAAAGUCCCCUCAUGUGCAUGGACAACACUAACAUGAUCAGCCUGGCAGGCAGAAGAGAGACAAGGAAUGGCUAAAUCAACCCUCAACUACUCUGCAAGCUUAGGAAGUGUGUGGCCACUGUAUCAUAGGACUGACUAGGUUAAACAUAGCAUAGCAUAAAUAGUAAAGGGACCAAGGGGAGGGAGCUGAUGUAGGACCUCUGUCUAACACAUAUCAAGCCAGAUGUGUUAUCCCCAGGGGCAGAGGACUUUGCAUAGGUGCUAUACCAGAAUCCACCUUUAUACAAAAUUCCAAGAUUCUGUGGAGUGAUAGGAAUGUGUCCUCUAACUCGGUGACUUUAAAUAACUUACUCUUGCCUGAGAUACUGUUAUUGGGUGAAUUUUAUAUCCUAAAAAUGUAUGUUGAAGUUCUGAGUCAGUACUUGAUAAUGUGGCUGUAUUUAGCAAUGGGGUCUUUGCAGAUGCAAUCAAGUUAAGAUGAGGUCAUGCUGAAUUAGAGUAUUCUCUUAAUCAAAUAUGAAUGAUUCAUCCAUAAAAAGAAAGGGUUUAGACAUUCUGGAGACAUAUAAUUGGGCCAGGUGCUAAAGGGCAAACAGCACAUAACAAGCUAGGCAGGGACUAAAGGAUAAAUGCCUGCAGAUUCCAGCAGCCAGAAGGAAGGACAGAUUCUUUUGCACUGCCUUGGAAAGAGCAGAUCCAAUCGGCUUCUUCACUUCAGAUCUUCAUCCACAGAACAAUAAGAAAAUCUACUGUUUUAUGUUUGUUUUUGUUUUCUUAUUUUAUUAUAGAAACUCUACAAUUCAGCAGGUCAUUACGAUGUUGACAUGAUUAAAUUAUGUAUGAAAAGUCACAUGUGACGAACUGAAAUAGACCAAGUCCUGCAUGACAACAGCGUCCUCUCUGAGGAACAUUUGUCUUCCUAGUAGUAGAGAUUAAAAUCCAUUAACAUUUCAUUUACAUAUGUUGAACUGUCAUUUUUCAUGCAUGUUUAUCUAAACGAACUUUACAGUCCAGAGACUCUAUGUAGUGACCACUGACAUUCUGCAGUGGAAUAUCAUUAGUGGUCCAGCGCCCUCCUAUGCUAUACCAAUGCCCGAAUGCCUCCUACUCUAUUGCCUGCUGUCCUAGAAAUCCAUGUGUCUUAAAUUGGUUUGGAGGGAAGGCCAUUCUCAUGUUCAAAUACGAAACAAUGGGGACAAGUGUUGUGUAAUCUGCAUCCUGGUCAUGAUAUGGCCAUUACACAGAUGCAUGCUGUGGUUACCUGUAUAAGACUCAUCAACUGUUUGCAGAGAUGGGGAGGGUCACUGGAAGAUCCUCUCUUAGCUGAAUGGCUAUUGACAAUUAGUAGCUGCUAAGAUUACAAUGGGAACUUUUUUUUUUGUUUUUUUCAGAGUUUAACCAAAAUUAAGUUGCCCAUGAUCCAAUAAAAACUUCGCACUAGUGUACACACAUAAACCCUAACAGAAUUCAAUUGUUUCCUUUGCAUUUUAAAAGAGAGGUUUCAUUUUUUUAAAUUAAUUAAUUAAUUUACAUCUAGCCACAGUUUCCCUCCCUCCACUUUCCCCAGUCCUUUCCAUCCCACUCCCAGCUUCUAUCUACUCUUCCUCUAUUUCUCUUCAGAAAAAGGGAUGUUUUUCAUGGAUACAAACUGGCCUUGGCAUAUCAAGUUGCAGUAAGAAUAGGCAGGUCUUCUUUUAUUGAGGCUACACUAGGCAGCCCAGUCAGGUGAAGGGUCACAAAGGCAGGUAACAGAGUCAGAGAUUGCCUCUGCUCCUGUUGUUAGGGGCAGCACAUGAAGGCCAAGUUGCACCUCUGCUAAAUAUAUGAAGAGGACCUAGUUCAGACCCAUGCAUGCUCUCUGGUCCUUAUGGGCCCUGGCAAGUUGGUUCUGUAUGUUUUCUUAUGGCGUCCUUGACCUCUCUGGCUCCUAUAAUUCUUACUUCCUUCUUCUGCACGAUUCUCUAGGAUCUGCCUAAUGUUUGGCUCUGGGUCUCUGCACCUGCUUCAAUCAGUUGCUAGUGAACGCACUGUUGAAGAUUAGGGUAGGUUCCUGUCUGCAACUUUGGUGAAUUCAUUAAUAUGUCAGGGGUGGGCUACCUCUCAUGGCAUGGGACUCAGGCUGAACCAGUCAUAGGUUGGCCAUUCCCUCAGUUACUGCUCCAUGAUUACCCAUGCACAUCUUGUAGGUUGAAGGUUUUGUGGUGUGACUGGUACUGGAAUGCCUCUAUUAGAAAUCUUGCCUGGUUUGAGGACAUAGUAAUUUCAGGCUCCAAAUCCCCAGUUGCUAGCAGUCUUACCUAUGGUCAUCCUCAUAAAUAUCUAGGAUUUUCCAAUGCCCUAGUUUUCUAGUUCAUCCCAGAGAUGCCUACUCUCCAGCUGUCUCUCCAAGAACUCUCUUUUCCACCUUCCCCUUACCUUAUCUCUCUUCUUCUUAAACAAGGCUUCCCCACCCCACAUUCAGUGCUCCCCCACCAGUCCCUGCCCACUGAUGUUGACUAUUGUAUUUCCCUUCUCAGUGAUAUUAUCGAUGGCUUAUCUUUAAAUGUAGACAUAAAUACCGAAGAGGGAAGGUUGUGAAAAUAAGGAUCUCAGAGGGAUUGGGAGGAAGAUAACCCAGGGAAGGAGGUGAGUAUGAUUAGAAAAUGUAACACCCCCUAAAUGAAGUUGGUAAUACAUUUUUAAAAUUUAAAUUAAAAAUUAAAAUAUAGUCAGGGGAAAAUCAAUAAAAAGUGUCUCGGCCAACUGUAUUAAAUAGUCAAUGAGUUGAUUUAUUUUCUACUAAUAUUUAGAAGUACUGGUGUCUGUCAGCACAGAGAAAUGGCAACUGCAUAUACAAAUUCAAUGAGCACAACAUGGAAAACAUAUCUAAUAAGGUAUCCUUUCUUGUUUUCCAUUUUAAGUUGUUAAAUCUCAAAAUAGAGUAAACUCCCACGUCUGUAACAGAAGUGCUUUACAGUCUCUCUCCUUACUCACAGAGCACUUUCCCUAAACACCUUGAGUCCUAAAUACCUCUUCUGUAUUUUAGUUUAGAACUUUCUUUUACUACCAAUACAGUAUACGAAGAUGAAUAUUCAGGGGAAAUUUCUUAGUCCAAGAUCUAUCCAUACUAGCAAUGCUUAACAUUAGCAAAUAAUACAUUCUAUAUUUUCAAAUACUUCAUAAUGGUAUUAAAUAACUAUCAAGCCAUGCUUAUCAAAACUAUAUGGUACUGUAGGUACUAACAGUAAUAUUUAGCUGCACUAACACAGGUGCUAUAAAAGAAGGCUGAUUUUGUAAAGGAUACUGAUGUCAACAACUUAAUAAACAUUAAAAACCAUGUGUCACGCAAGAAUUCAAGUGAUAAGUAAAGGCAAUAAAUUACUAGAUUUUUAAAAAUUUACCUAGGGAGGGUUUUGCACACACUAAGCAUUUAUAGUACCACUCUGUCUCGAUCAUAAGUCUUAAUAUACGUUUUUAACAUUCAAGCUCCAUCUAUAAGACCAUUAACUAUAUAUAGUAAGAUGAUGCUACAAUUUUUUGUGUCUAUAAUUUUCUCAAAAUUUAUUAGGUGACAUUUAAAACUUUCCAGUACAUAAUUCAUCUUCAUGUGUACCAGGUAUUUCUCUAAAGGCUUUUAAAUAGCCUAAAUUACUUAACUUCAGGAAUGCCCUGUGAGAUGAAUGUUUAUUAUCCAUAUUUUGAAGAAAUAGGUCACAGACAAUUUGAGUGAAGACCCCAAGGUCAAAGACAAUUGAGUCCCAGAUUCCCACCCAGAGCAGGUGAAAAACUAAGUCCAAAAUCAUUUAGUUUCACAAUUUCCUAGCAAAAGAGCAGUCAAUAUAACUAAAUCGCAUAGAACUAUAAAGACCCACAAGAAAAAAAUCUGUCAUAAAUAGGAAAUAUUUUCUUUCCGAGUGAUUUUGUCUAAAUUUAAGAGAAAAUAUCAACUCACCAAACAAACCAAAGCUUUUCAGCUACAUGGUACUUAAGUAUAAGUGUAAAAUAUUGAAAGAAUUUAAUUUCUUCAAAAGCCUUUAUGAAUAUUAAAUUUAAUGAUUAAUUUUUCAGGGGGCGGGCACUAGAAAAUGGUUGAUCAUUUAAGAGCACUAUUUUUUUCUUGUAUGGAACCAAUCUUCCUGCCAGUCCACAAAUAUCUGAGCACCAGGCAAAGACAAACACACACACACAUACACACACACAUACACACAUACACACACAUAUACACACAUACA